CGAUUAGCGCAGUUUGGUAGCGCACUUGGUUUGGGUCCAAGGGGUCGCAGGUUCAAAUCCUGCAUCGCCGACCA
rnacentral:tRNA from 4 species